UUGAAGAAGGUGUUUGAAUAAUGUGUAGAGUUUUUUCUGUAAAAAGUCACAACAUUUUUCAGUCCACAAUCAACCCCUUUCCUUUGAAUUCAACAUCAUCACUGUCACACCAAACCAAACCCUCUCUUUUCGCUUUCUCUCUCUAACUUGAGCUUCAAAAUCAAUGUCGCAGUUCUCAGCAGCAUGGUGCUAGGGUUCGUUUGGUUCAUCCAAACAUGGUCUUCAAGGGAAGGUUCUUCUCUUCCAAAAAAUCCGAUUCCUCUAGUCCCGAUGCGUCAUCCAACAGUCCUCGAUCUUUCUCCUCCAAUUCUCCUUCCAGAUCCGACAAGAAGAAGGCUAAAUCCGCCGCUCAUCCAACUUUAGCAGCGGGAGGCGGCGGUGGAAGCGGCGGUGGGGGAGCUCUUGCUGCGUGUCGUCAGACGCAGGUGAAGGACGGGACCAAGAAGAAGGAUGUGGUCAAGGGGAAGGAAAGUCAAACUCCGCCGCCGGAGGCUCGCAAGGAUUCUCCGGUGAAGAAGUUGACGGCGGCGGAGGGACGCGAAUCGUCGGCGUCAGUGUCGCCGAUUCUGGCGUCGUCGCUGGGGCUGAACAGGAUCAAGACGAGAUCGGGGCCGCUGCCGCAGGAGAGCUUCUUCGGGUUCAGGGGCGAGAAGGGAACGACGGCGCUCGGCGGCAGCAACCUUUCCCGGCCCGGCGUCGGCGUGCGCGGCGGCGAUGGGAAGAAGAAGGAACCGGCCAGCCAGAACCGGGUCGGAUUUCGUGAGGGUUCCCGUGGCGGUGCCGCUGCUACCGGAGGUUGGGGCGAUAAUGGGAGCAAUUCUGACAGCGUGUCGACUUCGGGGAGUAUGCCGCUAAGGGAGCAGAGUCCGGUGGUGUUGCCUCGGUCGCGGUUGCAGAACGGAGAAUCGUCCUCGGAAGCCGCAGGCAAACAGGCAUCAUCAUGGGCCCAGUCUGGAGGCUUAAGAAGUGCAGAUGUUUGUACUCCAGAGACGGCAUAUGAUUUUGAAAACCCAAAGGAGUCUGAAUCUCCUCGCUUUCAAGCCAUAUUACGUGUCACUAGUGCACCUAGGAAGAGGUUUCCUUCGGAUAUCAAAAGUUUUUCCCAUGAGUUGAAUUCGAAAGGUGUCUGGCCUUUUCCAUUUUUGAAGCCUCGGCGGUUGAAUAACCUUGAGGAGAUUUUGGUCGUUAUUAGGGCAAAAUUUGAUAAAGCGAAGGAAGAUGUAAACUCUGAUUUAGCCAUUUUUGCGGCAGAUCUGGUUGGAAUUCUUGAAAAAAAUGCAGAUACUCAUCCUGAAUGGCAAGAGACAAUUGAGGACUUGCUAGUUUUGGCAAGGAGCUGUGCUAUGACUUCAUCUGGCGAGUUUUGGCUUCAGUGUGAAAGCAUAGUUCAGGAGUUGGAUGAUAGGCGUCAAGAGCAUCCUCCUGGGAUGCUAAAGCAGCUUCACACCCGAAUGCUUUUCAUUCUCACAAGGUGUACCCGAUUGUUGCAAUUCCACAAGGAAAGUGGUUUGGCUGAGGAUGAACCUGUUUUCAAUCUUCGUCAAUCAAGAGUCUUGCAUUCUGCUGGAAAAUGUAUUCCUCCUAGUGUGGGAAGGGAUUCUAAAAGUUCAAGUGCUGCAAAAGCCUUAAAGCCUUCAUCUAAAAAAGCUUUUAGUCAAGAACAGAGUAUGAUGGGUUGGAAGAAAGAUGUUAUGCAACCGGAAAAUCUUUCACUUCCUGCUGAUGAUGAUAAUACAAAACAUUUUGACUCUUCAGGCAGGGAUCGAAUGGCUUCUUGGAAGAAAUUCCCAUCUCCGUCUGGAAAAAGCCCUAAAGAAGCUGCUCAGUUGAAGGAACAAAAUUAUGGGAGGGUUGAAUCUUCAAAGGCAUCAAAUAAUAAGAGAUUCCCUUCUGAUGUGGACCUUUCUACCGCGAAGCCAUCUGAGUUUCUUCCUAUCAAAGAUUCCUUGGAUCAUGCUUCCAAACACCAACAUAAAGUUUCUUGGGGAUACUGGGGAGAUCAGCAGAAUAAUAGCGAGGAGAACUCAAUAAUUUGUCGUAUAUGUGAAGAGGAAGUUCCUACUUCACACGUUGAAGAUCAUUCAAGGAUUUGUGCAGUUGCUGAUAGAUGUGAUCAGAAAGGACUGAGUGUCAAUGAUCGUCUUGUCAGAAUUGCUGAAACACUAGAAAAGAUGAUGGAGUCUUGUUCACAAAAGGAUACCCAACAAAUGGUGGGAAGUCCCGAUGUUGCAAAAGUAUCAAAUUCUAGUAUGACUGAAGAAUCUGAUGUUCCUUCUCCUAAACUUAGUGAUUGGUCUCGCAGAGGCUCAGAUGACAUGCUAGACUGUUUCCCCGAAACCGAUAAUUCUGCUUUUAUGGAUGACUUGAAAGGAUUACCACUUAUAUCAUGUAAAACUCGUUUUGGUCCAAAGUCUGACCAAGGUAUGACAACAUCAUCUGCAGGGAGCAUGACUCCAAGGUCACCAUUGAUGACACCACGGACAAGUCCCAUUGACUUGCUCUUGGCCGGGAAGGGUGCUUAUUCUGAACAUGAUGAUCUGCUGCAGAUGAAUGAACUUGCGGAUAUAGCUCGAUGUGUGGCAAAUGCACCUCUGGAUGAUGAUCGCACAACUUCAUAUUUAUUAUCUUGUCUUGAUGACUUGCGGGUUGUUGUAGAACGAAGGAAAUUUGAUGCACUUACUGUGGAGACCUUUGGAACACGUAUUGAGAAGCUGAUACGAGAGAAGUAUCUGCAACUCACUGAGAUGGUGGAUGUUGAAAAGAUAGAUACAGAGAGCACCGUUGAUGAUGAUGUUCUCUUGGAAGAUGACGUGGUUCGUAGCUUGAGAACAAGCCCAAUCCAUUCAUCAAGGGAUCGUACCUCUAUUGAUGACUUUGAAAUUAUAAAACCUAUCAGUCGUGGGGCAUUUGGGAGGGUUUUCUUGGCUAAAAAGAGAACAACUGGUGAUCUUUUUGCAAUAAAGGUUCUCAAGAAGGCAGAUAUGAUCCGUAAAAAUGCUGUGGAAAGUAUAUUAGCAGAACGUGAUAUCUUAAUUACAGUACGCAAUCCUUUUGUGGUUCGAUUCUUCUAUUCUUUUACAUGUCGUGAAAACUUAUAUCUCGUCAUGGAGUAUCUGAAUGGAGGUGACCUGUAUUCAUUAUUAAGAAAUUUAGGUUGCCUAGAUGAGGAAGUUGCUCGAGUAUAUAUUGCUGAAGUGGUGCUUGCGUUAGAGUAUUUGCAUUCUCUGCGUGUGGUUCAUCGAGAUCUGAAGCCUGACAAUUUAUUGAUAGCACAUGAUGGUCACAUCAAGUUAACAGACUUUGGGCUUUCUAAAGUUGGUCUCAUCAACAGCACAGAUGAUCUGUCUGGCCCAGCAGUGAAUGGGACAUCCCUACUUGAAGAGGAUGAGACUGAUGUAUUUACUUCUGAGGAUCAAUGGGAAAGGAGGAAGAAACGCUCUGCAGUGGGCACGCCUGAUUACUUAGCCCCAGAGAUACUUUUGGGAACUGGACAUGCGUAUACUGCCGAUUGGUGGUCUGUUGGGGUCAUUUUAUUUGAGUUGCUUGUUGGUAUUCCACCCUUCAAUGCUGAGCAUCCUCAGACUAUAUUUGAUAAUAUUCUUAAUCGUAAGAUACCUUGGCCUUCAGUUCCUGCAGAGAUGAGUCCCGAAGCACAGGAUCUUAUUGAUCGAUUAUUGACAGAAGAUCCUAAUCAAAGACUGGGAUCAAAAGGAGCAUCAGAGGUAAAGCAACAUGUUUUCUUCAAGGAUAUAAACUGGGACACACUUGCCAGGCAGAAAGCUGCAUUUGUUCCUGCUUCUGAGAGCGCUCUAGAUACCAGUUACUUCACUAGUCGCUACUCAUGGAAUACUUCUGAUGGCCUUGUAUAUCCAGCCAGUGAUGUUGAGGAUUCUAGUGAUGCUGAUAGCUUAAGUGGCAGCAGUAGUUGCUUGAGCAAUCGCCAAGAUGAAGUGGUAUUACAAGGAGAUGAAUGUGGUGGUCUUGCUGAGUUUGAUUCUGGCACAUCUGUCAAUUACUCUUUCAGUAAUUUCUCCUUCAAGAAUCUCUCCCAGCUUGCAUCUAUCAACUAUGAUCUCACUAAAGGAUGGAAAGACGACCCGCCAACGAAUUCUAGUGCAUAGCUGUAUGUAUUAAUUAUCCUCUGUCAAAGUCCAGAAUUUGGUUUUCGACCUAUGAUCCAAGCAAUUUUGGGGGCACAAGCACCUUUAUCGUUUGUAUACAUUGUACAUAUUUAGAGGUUCAAAGUGGUUCAGGAUGUACUCUUUGCUUGUUAGGUUACAGGGCAACAGUGGGUGGUUUCAGUUUUUUACCGUUUAUUGUGUACGAAUUGAGAACUGUAAAUUUAAAAAUGCAUAUCACAGUUGCUCAAAUUGUUCUGCGAUGGCAAUGAGAACACAUCCUUUUUGUUCAGACAAACCACUGUUAUAUUAUAUACUUGAUGCUGCUGUGAACUCUUCUUAA